rnacentral:ncRNA from 1 species
GCAGAGUAGGGGUUCGCGCGUAAAGUGUCAGUCGGACGGGGAGUUGCCGCUGAACGAAAAGCCUUGGCUUGCGGUGCGACCUCCGCAUCCCGCUGC